rnacentral:rRNA from 1 species
CACCGCCCGUCACAUCACGAAAGUGGAUUGUACUAGAAGUCCGCGAGCCGACCGCAAGGAGGCAGUGGCCCAAGGUAUGAUCCACGAUUGGGGUG